CGGCAACAGCUCAAAUUUGAAAUCUGGCCCUCUGGGUCCGAGUUGUAAUUUGUAGAGGAUGCUUCUGGCGCGGUGCCUUCCGAGUUCCCUGGAACGGGACGCCAUAGAGGGUGAGAGCCCCGUCUGGUUGGACGCCUAGCCUCUGUGAAGCUCCUUCGAC
rnacentral:rRNA from 1 species